rfam:Lachnospiraceae bacterium 28-4 genomic scaffold acPFn-supercont1.1, whole genome shotgun sequence.
GGGAUAGUAAAGGUUUCGACAGGGGUCUUGCAGCUGGAGAAGCUAUCCGCAGGCGAUGCGUCAAAUCGCGAAUCUAAAUAUAAACGCUGAAGAUAAUUUAGCAUUCGCUGCCUAAUGGCAGCUGUCCGCCCUGACGCACCUGCACGCCAGGAACCGGGCAUCGACUAUGCGGGAAACGACAUGGGCAAAGCUUUGAGCUUAUGGGCGUAAUAUGAAGCUACUGAAUAUAUUGGGCUGUCAAUUUCCCAAUAUAGGAGGGAAUGAAAUAUAAUUGACUAUGAUAGUAGAAGGACAGGGAAUGGGUCUUUGGACGCGGGUUCGACUCCCGCCUAUUCCAUGU